UACGUAGGGGGCAAGCGUUGUCCGGAUUUAUUGGGCGUAAAGAGCGUGUAGGCGGCCGCACAGGUCCGUUGUGAAAACUGGAGGCUUAACCUUCAGACGUCGAUGGAAACCGUGCGGCUAGAGUCCGGAAGAGGAGAAUGGAAUUCCUGGUGUAGCGGUGAAAUGCGCAGAUAUCAGGAGGAACACCGGUGGCGAAGGCGGGUCUCUGGGCAACAACUGACGCUGAGGAGCGAAAGCGUGGGGAGCGAACAGG
rnacentral:rRNA from 1 species